GACGAACGCUGGCGGCGUGCUUAACACGUGCAAGUCGAACGAUGAACCCGGAGCUUGCUCCGGCGGAUUAGUGGCGAACGGGUGAGUAACACGUGAGCAAUCUGCCCUUGACUCUGGGAUAACUGCGGGAAACUGUAGCUAAUACCGGAUACGACACCUUGGGGCCUCCCAGGGUGUGGAAAGAAUUUCGGUCAAGGAUGAGCUCCCGGCCUAUCAGCUAGUUGGUGAGGUAAUGGCCCACCAAGGCGACGGCGGGUAGCCGGCCUGAGAGGGUGACCGGCAACACUGAAACGGAGACACGGUCCAGACUCCUACGGGAGGCAGCAGUGGGGAAUAUUGCACAAUGGGCGAAAGCCUGAUGCAGCAACGCCGCGUGAGGGAUGAAGGCCUUCGGGUUGUAAACCUCUUUUAGCAGGAAAGAAGCGAAAGUGACGGUACCUGCAGAAAAAGCACCGGCUAACUACGUGCCAGCCGCCGCCGUAA
rnacentral:rRNA from 1 species